UUGUUCUCAACUUGGUUUUCAUCUUGAUUUUCAUCUUUUUUUUUCUUCUUUGGCUUUUGACUUUUU
rnacentral:ribozyme from 15 species